rnacentral:rRNA from 1 species
UACGUAGGGUGCAGGCGUUAAUCGGAAUUACUGGGCGUAAAGCGUGCGCAGGCGGUCUUUUAAGUCAGAUGUGAAAUCCCCGGGCUUAACCUGGGAACUGCGUUUGAAACUGGAAGGCUAGAGUGUGGCAGAGGGGGGUGGAAUUCCACGUGUAGCAGUGAAAUGCGUAGAUAUCUGGAGGAACACCGGUGGCGAAGGCGGCGUUCUGGACUGCUACUGACACUGAGGAACGAAAGCCAGGGGAGCAAACGGG